UACGGAGGGGGCUAGCGUUGUUCGGAAUUACUGGGCGUAAAGCGCGCGUAGGCGGAUCUGCAAGUCGGGGGUGAAAUCCCGAGGCUCAACCUCGGAACUGCCUUCGAUACUGCGGGUCUCGAGUCCGGGAGAGGUGAGUGGAAUUCCUAGUGUAGAGGUGAAAUUCGUAGAUAUCUGGAGGAACACCGGUGGCGAAGGCGGGUCUCUGGGCCGAUACUGACGCUGAGGAGCGAAAGCGUGGGGAGCGAACAGG
rnacentral:rRNA from 1 species